UCACAAAUAACUACAGCAAUCCGUGUAAUUAAAAUAGUUUGUCUCAAGCGCGAACAAAUACACUCAGAGGGCUGUUUUUGUCUAUUUCGCUGCCAAGACAACAAACCCCUCGCUGAUAAACAACAGCCGAAAUUCAAACAGGAUUGUCCAGCGAAGUACCUGUCCAAUCCGAGCCUCAUCACUACCCAGUGUCACUCCGCGUGACGACUUAGCACCUGGGAUUUUCCCAAACUGCAUUUCUCAAUCUGUUUUAAUCCUUCUUGCCUGUCAAUCAGUGAUCAUUAACAGUCUAACUGGACUUGGGAGCGAAGCGGACUGUUAAUUACCUGAGGGUGAUCGCGAUUUACCUGGGAUAUCCCUCCGCCAACAGAGGUCACGGACAGGUGUGCAACGGUGGUGUGCAACAAGGAAGAGAGUCGUAUGCGGCGUUUCGAAAGUUAAAUAUUCGUGAUAUUGCCGUGACAUAUGCCGAAAUGGCGUCUUGGAUAUGUUUAAGUGUUUGCAUAAUUACAGCGUUCGUUUUGGAACCAGCCACAGGGGCAAGGCUGACCACAUCACCGACACAAAUAACUAUUGGGGGAAGUAACCCAACAUCUGAGUUGACUGUAAGUUGUACUCCAGAUGCAAAUGGGAUAACAGAACUGUAUAGCAUAGAGAUUGGCAGGAAACCUUCUACUGGUGAUAAUCAGCCUAUAAUAAGAAUGAGCAACACAGGUUCGUCAGUAACAGUAGUGGACACAAGUCUACAGCAGCGGAUAAGUACCUCCGGUUCUAUCACUGGAGCAACAGGAAACAUACAGUUCAUCCUGACAGAUCUGAGAUGCACUGAUGCUGCUUCUACAUACUAUUGCUCCACCCUAUACUUGGCAGGAUCCAUUGGAAGUGAUGAGACACCCACCAACAUCACAGCUAUAACUUACCCGGAACAGAUAGAGAUGUUCCCUACUCCCGACAGGGCCACUUAUGACAAUGGUCAGCUGAUCUCAUUCAGGUGUACAGGCAGGAUGGGGAACCAGUUUGAUGUGAACAAUCUCCAGAGCCUGUGGACAUGGGAGUGGCGAUCUAUAGACAACGAGUUUGCCUCCUGGACACGAUAUCCAAACGACCAAAACAUCACCUAUGAGACUCCUACUCCCGUGUCUGUGUCAGGGGGGUGCCAGUAUAACGGGGCGUCAACACUGCUUCAUACAGUCUCGAAUCUAGACAAUGGGAGACAGUUCAGGUGUUCUGUCAUUAAUGAAGACUACAGUACCAACAAGACAGUUUUUCUUGUUGGACAAGCACCCAUAACUUCUGCUCCUGGUUCAAAUACUGGCGAAGCUGGAGUGGAUGGUGGCAUGAUUGCCGGUAUUGUCGUGGCUAUCCUGGUUGUCAUCGUCAUUGUCGUCGUUGUCAUCGUCGUCAUUCGCAAGAAAAAAAGUGGUGGCGAGCAUUAUGAGACAAAGGAAGAAGAUGGAAGAGAUAAUUUACGUCCUCAGUCGAAUCAGCAUAUGUUAUUGAAAGGCCGGAAAUGACCCCCAAUGUUGUGUACAGCACCCCGGCCAGCUAUGACCAACGGAAGCCUGUGUAUCAUAAUCGUAAAUCUCCAAACCGGAUGAAGGGCCGUGAGAACAACGCCAUGGAUGGGGAACAGGAGGGAAGCCCUCCCAACUACUACAACCACCGUGGCCAAACGAACCCCGCCAUGGAUGACGACCUGG
rnacentral:misc_RNA from 1 species